rnacentral:rRNA from 1 species
GACGUAGGGUGCGAGCGUUGUCCGGAUUUAUUGGGCGUAAAGAGCUCGUAGGCGGCUUGUCGCGUCGUCCGUGAAAACCUGCGGCUCAACUGCAGGCUGGCGGUCGAUACGGGCAGGCUGGAGUUCGGUAGGGGAGACUGGAAUUCCUGGUGUAGCGGUGAAAUGCGUAGAGAUCGGGAGGAACACCUGUCGGCGAAGGC